AUUGAACGCUGGCGGCAGGCCUAACACAUGCAAGUCGAGCGGAUGAAGGGAGCUUGCUCCUGGAUUCAGCGGCGGACGGGUGAGUAAUGCCUAGGAAUCUGCCUGGUAGUGGGGGGUAACGUCCGGAAACGGGCGCUAAUACCGCAUACGUCCUGAGGGAGAAAGUGGGGGAUCUUCGGACCUCACGCUAUCACAUGAGCCUAGGUCGGAUUAGCUAGUUGGUGGGGUAAAGGCCUACCAAGGCGACGAUCCGUAACUGGUCUGAGAGGAUGAUCAGUCACACUGGAACUGAGACACGGUCCAGACUCCUACGGGAGGCAGCAGUGGGGAAUAUUGGACAAUGGGCGAAAGCCUGAUCCAGCCAUGCCGCGUGUGUGAAGAAGGUCUUCGGAUUGUAAAGCACUUUAAGUUGGGAGGAAGGGCAGUAAGUUAAUACCUUGCUGUUUUGACGUUACCAACAGAAUAAGCACCGGCUAACUUCGUG
rnacentral:rRNA from 1 species